AACGGGAGCCAUUGAAACUCUCGGAGGCGCCGGGAGCCGAAAAGGGCUGGGAAACAAGGAACGGAGGCCCAGGUGGCGCCCGGACCACACACCUGAGGCGGGUCCCAGCGCCCCACGUUCUCACAGGAGACCCAGUGUCUGAAAACACAUCCUGGAAGGAGUGACUGAGCUAUUAUGCUGCCGGCUGAGAGGACGUGAGGUGAUGGUGCAGGGCUGUUGUAGCAAAGUACUAUCAAGCAGUGAAGAGCUACUCUUUCCCUUCGGGAGGUCUGAAGUCUGGAAUCAGGGUGUCAGCAGAAGGGACUUCCCUGGCAGUCCAGUGGCUAACACUCUGCACCCCCAGUGCAGGGGGCCCAGGUUCGAUCCCUGGUCAGGGAACCAAGAUCCCACAUGCCGCAACUAAGAACUGGCACAGUCAAAUGAAGCAUAACCCGCUCCGGUAUUCUUGCCUGGGAAAUCCCAUGGACAGAGGAGCCUGGUGGGCUGCAGUCCACGGGGUUGUGCAAAGAGUCGGACACGACUUAGUGAGCACGCACAUGUACAUUUUUUUAAAAAAGUUGUCAGUGGGGCCAUAACAUGCCUGGAGGCGCUAGCGGUGACUCUGUUCCUCCCCACUUCCACCUUCGGAUGGCUAUAGGUGCUUCUUGUGAUUGCCCUAAAGCCCCACCUAAAGAAUCAACUAUCGCCUCUGCAUCUCAAAAUCCUUAGUUUAAUCACAUCUGCAAAGACCUUUUUCUUUUUUUCCCAAAUAAGGUAACGUUGACAGGUUUCCUGGGAUCCGGACCUGUCAUCUUUGGGAAACAUUUAGUCAGCUUACUGGAGAAAUGGAAACCACUCAACAGUGUCCUGGAGAAUGAAGGGGACUUUGCCGGUUAGUUUGGAAGAAGCCUGGCUAAAGCCCCACAGCUGACUUACACGGCUUCCCCUCACGAGGAGCAGGAGUCAGGCUAAGGAUCUGCUGACCUCAGGUGGUGCUUGCAGAAGCCUAGUCCCCAACCUUCAGCCGAGGGAGGACUACCCCCCAGGGAAGCCCUCACAUAAAGAUUUGGCAUGUCUCAGAAGCUCAUUCGUGUGUGACCCUUUGCGACCCCAUGGGCUGUGGCCCACAAGACUCCACUGUCCGGGGAAUUCUCCAGGCAAGAACACUGGAGUAGUUUGCCAUUUCCUUCUCCAAGAUCUGGGAUACCUACCAGCAGAAGACCUAGAUAGACAUUUCUCCAAAGAAGACAUACAGAUGGCCAACAGGCCACACGAAAAGAUGCUCAACAUCACCAAUAAAAGGAAAUGCAAAUUGAAACCACCAAGGGGUAUUGCGUCACACAAGUCAGAAUGGCUAUUAUUAAAAAGUCUGCAGAUAAUAAAUGCCGGAGAAGGGGUGGGGAAAAACGGAACCUCCUACACUGUUGAUGGGAAUGUAAAUUGAUGCAGUUACUAUGGAGAACAGU